rnacentral:rRNA from 1 species
GAUGAACGCUAGCGGCAGGCUUAAUACAUGCAAGUCGAGGGGCAGCAGGACUGUAGCAAUACAGUUGCUGGCGACCGGCAAACGGGUGCGGAACACGUACGCAACCUUCCUUUAAGUGAGGAAUAGCCCAGGGAAACUUGGAUUAAUACCUCGUAAUAUUUGAGAGUGGCAUCACUCUUUAAUUAUAGCUCCGGCGCUUAAAAAUGGGCGUGCGACUGAUUAGGUAGUUGGCGGGGUAACGGCCCACCAAGCCUGCGAUCAGUAACUGGUGUGAGAGCACGACCAGUCACACGGGCACUGAGACACGGGCCCGACUCCUACGGGAGGCAGCAGUAAGGAAUAUUGGUCAAUGGACGCAAGUCUGAACCAGCCAUGCCGCGUGGAGGAUGAAGGUCCUCUGGAUUGUAAACUUCUUUUAUCUGGGAAGAAACCCAUAUUUUCUAGUGUGGUUGACGGUACCAGAUGAAUAAGCACCGGCUAACUUCGUGCCAGCCGCCGCAGUAAUAC